CUCGUCAGCCGAGGAAGAAGUUUUGAGCAAUAUGAAGAGAUUGGAUGGGGGAAUUCAGCCAUACAGCCUGCAGGACGUUGCUGCUGCUUUCACUUGGCCUCGAUAGUAACCCAUCUUUAAACAAAGUUUGAUGACUGGAAACAAGACACUCAGACGAGGCUGAAUGUCAGGAGAGACAUGAAUGGAGAGGUCAAACUAGACUGCUGAGGAUACUGCUACGCCUUUGUCAUGGAGGAGCAGGCGCACGAUUUUGAUCAGGCCUUUGCAGGCAGAGAGAGCUGAUACUAGGAUGGCCAAAUGUCACUGAAAUCUACAUCUCUGCUGUUACUGCUGUCACUUUUAGUUAAAAACUGAGAUGGGUUGCCCAAAUAUAAAAGAUCACCUCAUUAGGUUUUAUUCAUGCUUCUAAGCCCAAAUAGAUUCAUAUCACGUUUUUACUGUCUGCCUACGGGUUGCGUUCUCUUUUUCACAAUAAAAUCCCUGGACAUAUACACUGCA